GGGGGUGUCGUCUAAAGGUAGGACACCUUCCCGUCGUGUGGAGGAAAAGUGGGUUCAAAUCCCGCCACCCCCC
rnacentral:tRNA from 1 species